UACAGAGGUUGCAAGCGUUGUUCGGAUUUAUUGGGCGUAAAGGGUCCGUAGGCGGUUUGGAAAGUCGGGUGUGAAAUCCUACAGCUUAACUGUAGAACUGCAUUCGAAACUUCCAGACUAGAGUAUGAGAGGGGUUAAGGGAAUUCCCGGUGUAAGGGUGAAAUCUGCAGAGAUCGGGAGGAACACCAGUCGCGAAGGCGAUUAACUGGCUCAUUACUGACGCUCAGGGACGAAAGCUAGGGUAGCAAACGGG
rnacentral:rRNA from 1 species